UACAUCAUCAUUAAUUUACAGUUCUACUAAGUACUUCAUGGUCUACUACCAAAGCAAAUAUCAACCUAUUUUGCAUUCAUAAACUAUUGUACAGUAAUUAGCAUUACAACCAAUAGCUGAUCCUCUUUGCCUCACUAUCACCUUCUCCCCACAAUAUGAUGUAGUUUCACACAAGAAAAGUGGUACGUUGCGCAGAGUUUACAGUAAAAUUAGUUAUUACCCAUUGGCAAGACAAUAAUCUACUACCGCAGUAGAUUAUACAUUACUAAUCUAAUAAUUUUAGUAACAUGAUUUAUUCAAAAUCAAAGUUUCUUAAUUGGUUGUCUGUUUACUUACCAUGUGACAGUGGAUCGACACUUUACUCUUAAAAUGUACAGUGAAAUGAGCUUAUACUUUGUGUAGUAGUAUAUGAAGUACUAAGUAGAACUAUGAGGCAACUUCGAUGGAAUCUAGUCUCUAAAUUGGCAGAAUUUAUUUAAUUAAAGGGUCAAGUUUGGUCAUUGACUUAAAUUUAUUUAACUAUACGAAAACUUAGUAAUGUAUUACUCCAAAAAUAUACAGUAAAAGUAACGGAUAUUUGCUGUAGUAGAACAGGAGUUAUCAAAGGGCAAAGUUCAGCUACUGGUGUCAGUUGAACUUACUGAAUGAUACUUUAUGCAUUAUUUAAAAACUAUGCAGUAAAAUAAGUUGAUAUUUCCUGUGGUAGUAGUCUAUAAAGUACUAGGUAGUGAUGUCCCAAUUUGAGUAAUUUAUUCAAAUCCAAGAUUUAGAAAAAGAGGCAAAUUGCCUCUUUAUAUUUUCCGUUAGUGAAUAUAUUUAGACAUUCACUGUAAAUUCUGUAAUUUCUUAAAUUUAAUUCAUUUCCUUGCAACAUUUAUCUUAAUAUCGCCCCAGAUGCUCCUAAAAGUGAGAGUCUCGGCUUUUCUCAGUGAUCGCAACAGUUACCGUAACUAUAGCACGAAUCGCGCACCUUGAAUAUAGCGACGGCUCAUUUGACCACGGAAAAGUAAACGGCGGUUCAUUUGACCGUGGUGACACACCGGAGCAAACGGCAACUGUAGCUUGUUUGAUCCUUUCGGGGACAGUCCACCAGAUGACGCAUUUCAAACAGUUCUAGCAAGAAUGGAAACCCUUAAACGCUGUCUGGAAUGCUCAAGAGGGAGGUUGAUGGAUGCAACAGCAGUACAAGACAUCCUUGAAAACAUUGAGAAAUAUACUCAGGAGGUCAAGGAAAUGCAACAGGGGGCUCAACAAGUGCUUAUAGACACAAGCUGUUACGGCGAUAAAGAGGCACGUGAUGGCUGGACUGUCAUGCGAGGUGGUGUCAGCAAAAGUAAAACUCACAAGUCAUAGAGUCAAUUGACUCUCUGCAUAUUCGUUGAACCGAGGGCUGCUUGAAGUGCUGUUUCUGUUGUAAUAGAGAUUAACGUGCACACGCAUCAUAGACCAGAAGCACAAGUGGCCAUUGGUUUUAAUGCUGUCAACUAGGGCUCAAGCAUGCAUUAAAGAGUCCAUUUACCUAAGAUGAUGUGGUUGUUAUUGCUCCUGAUACAAAGUUUUCUGUGUGUACACUUAAUGUCAGUUUUCACAAAGACAAAUUCUGUAACAUCUGUUUUCUCUGUUUGAUUAUGGCAGGUAAUGUUUAUAUUAGUGUUUAGAAAGAUAAAAGAAGGUACAGUACUGGGUUGUAUAGCACCGACGCCUGUGUGGUUACGUGUAACACUUGACUAUUUUAAAUAGAUUUCAGUAUUCCCCAGUAAAUAAAAAAAAUUCUACAAAUGUC